rnacentral:rRNA from 1 species
UACAGAGGUCCCAAGCGUUGUUCGGAUUCACUGGGCGUAAAGGGCGCGUAGGUGGCGUGGUAAGUUUGAUGUGAAAGCUCAGGGCUUAACCCUGAAAUGGCAUUGAAUACUACUGUGCUGGAGGUUUGGAGGGGGGACUGGAAUUCUUGGUGUAGCAGUGAAAUGCGUAGAUAUCUGGAGGAACAUCGGUGGCGAAGGCGGCAUCCUGGACCGGUAUUGACGCUGAGGCGCGAAAGCCAGGGGAGCAAACGGG